rnacentral:rRNA from 1 species
CUCCAGACUCCUACGGGAGGCAGCAGUGGGGAAUAUUGCACAAUGGGGGAAACCCUGAUGCAGCGACGCCGCGUGAGCGAUGAAGUAUUUCGGUAUGUAAAGCUCUAUCAGCAGGGAAGAAAAUGACGGUACCUGACUAAGAAGCCCCGGCUAACUACGUGCCAGCAGCCGCGGUAAUACGUAGGGGGCAAGCGUUAUCCGGAUUUACUGGGUGUAAAGGGAGCGUAGACGGCUGUGCAAGCCAGAUGUGAAAGCCCGGGGCUCAACCCCGGGACUGCAUUUGGAACUGUGUGGCUGGAGUGUCGGAGAGGCAGGCGGAAUUCCUAGUGUAGCGGUGAAAUGCGUAGAUAUUAGGAGGAACACCAGUGGCGAAGGCGGCCUGCUGGACGAUGACUGACGUUGAGGCUCGAAAGCGUGGGGAGCAAACAGGAUUAGAUACCCGAGUA